rnacentral:rRNA from 1 species
UUAUGGAUUCGUUCAAGCGAAGAAUUAAAAAAACUUUUGCGAAUUAUUUUGCCCGAACUGAAAAUCCCAUCAAUGUUGCCCAAAAUUAUUCUUCUUUACAAAAAUUCUAAAUUACAACAACGCUGGAUUUCUGAAAUCAUUGAAAAAACAAAAUUUUCUCGCGAGAUAACAGAAAAAUAUCUUAUUGAGAAACAGCAAAGGUAUAAACGAUUUCAGAAAAUGAUAUAGUCCGAUCUCCGUAGUAAUACGGAUAAUAGAAAAUUCUACAAGAUGACCCUUGUAGUCCACGCCCUAAACGAUGGACACUGGCUAUUGCAAGUGUCGACCCUUGCAGUGGCGAAGCUAACGCGUUAAGUGUCCCGCCUGGGAAGUACGGUCGCAAGACUAAAACUCAAAGGAAUAGACGGGGAUCCACACAAGCGGUGGACCACGUGGCUUAAUUCGACAACAAGCGAAGAACCUUACCAGGGCUUGACAUUCCGACAAAACCCUGAUGAAAAUUAGGGCUCCUUACAAGGAUGUCGGAACAGGUGCUGCAUGGUUGUCGUCAGUAGGUGGCUUGAGUUGCUCCCUUAAAUGGGGUAACCUGCGCAACCCCUGCCCUAUGUUUAAUUUGUCAUAGGGGACUGCCUGGGACAACCAGGAGGAAGGUGGGGAUGACGCCAAAUCAGCAUGGCCCUCUGAUGCCCUGGGCUGCACACGUGGUACAAUGGGGCUGACAAAGGGUUGCUAAGACGUAAGUCGGAGCUAAUCCCAUCAAACGGCCUCUCAGUUCGGAUUGAGGUCUGCAACCUGACCUCAUGAAGCUGGAAUCGCUAGUAACUGUGAAUCAGCCACGUCACAGUGAAUAUGUCUCUGGAUCUUGUACUCACCGCCCGUCACUUCAAGCAAGCUGGGAAUAGCCAAAGCCUUGUGCUUCGCACAAGUCCACAGAUUUUCACAGAUAAGAGACAGAUUCUCACAGAUUAGUGUA